ensembl:lncRNA
CAGCUGUGUCCCUUCCACACCAGUGUCCUGACUCCUCCCCCAGGACAGAGAGCCCUUCCCCUCCACACCCUGGGGCCCGAGAAGUGGGCAUCUGAUUUCUUCCCCUUCUCCCUACAGCCUCUUGAAUGGAUGGAGACAGAGUCCCUCUGCAGACAUAAGAGGACGAGAGCUCUGGCCCAGAGGCCAGUGCCCUCUGCAGUUUCCCAGGGACAGGAGCCCAUGCCUGCUAGAGACAGAGGGCGGACACGGAGCCUGGGUGGGCUUGAUCAGCAUGCAGACUGAGCCUCCUUUAGCCCGUUUCCCUGCCCCUUUGUACAGGCUCUGAAGACAAGUUACAGGACAUGAGAAGAAACCCCAGGUGGCCUCCCCAUCAGCUGGUGAGCGGGUAGAGUCCUGACCAGAUGCCAGAGCAGUUUAAGAUGUCACUUCAUCCAGAGGGCAGAGGACAAGCAGGAGACCAACAGAGGCCCAGUUGGUCCAAGGAGCACUGGGGAGGAGGAGGCCAGCAUCGCUGGAACGCGCUGUCUCUGUCUCGGACAAACGGGAUCAGACGUGUGAGGUCGUGGUGGUGCCUGAAAACCAGAACUGACUCCGUGGGAAGACUCAGAACCAGAUGCUCCAGCACCGUUAUCCCAGGGGCCUCGCCCACACCCCCAGCCCAUGGGGCCACAGAAGAGCAAGCAACAACCACCACCCAUCCCCAGCUGGAUCCAUCUUUUCCAUCACCAGUCGUUACCAGGCUCCUGCCAUGUGCCAUGAACAGUCCGGGCAAUGGAGACCUGAAGACCAGUCUUUGCUCAAGGAACUCAUCACCACAUCGGUGAGACAGGCCAGGAGGCAGCUGCGGCCAAACACUAAGUAGGGAGGUGGGGGGAGAAGACAGGUUCCAGAAACAGCAGAUGCAGGGUGGGACGGGGGGUGGGUUCACGGAAACUUACUGGGACAAAUGACAUCUAAGCUGACAUAGGCAAAAGAGGGACAUCCCGUUUCAUUCACUAAGGGUCUGCUCGGCAUAUAGUGUGGCCAGAGCAGGGCCAGGCGGGCUUCGUGAAGACGAGUCAGGAUCAUGUCCACCACUGGAGCUGGUCACCUGGCAGGGGACAUAAGGUGAAAGGAGUCACGUGUGAGGCAUCACCCAAGGGAAAGGUCAGUGAGACCCAGGGCGGGUCCAGGAGAGGACGAAAGGAGGGAUGUGCAGCUGGGAAGACCAGGAAAAGCUCCAGGGAAGGAAUGGAAUUUGGGUUCACGGUGGGGGUGGAUGGAAUUUAGAGGUACAGACGAGGGGGGGCACAUUGCAAGCCAACCUAAUGAUACCAGCAAAGUUUAAGAGCCAGUGAUGUCUGGGGGACAAGAAUAGCAGUGACUGGCAGUACGAAAGAUGACCUGAUGGUGGUGGGUGUGGCUUGAACACAAAUCGAGGGGAGCCUUGUAACAGGUGGUUCAGAAUUUAAGGCGAGCCCCAGAAGGGCUAAGGAAUUCUCUCGGUGUCACUGAAUUAGUAGAAAAGCAAUCUGAGUUCAACUCCAGCACUCCUUCCACAGGCCCUAGGCUGAGAGGUGCCCCCUCCCAGGCUUUGGGCCCCUCCCCAUGGCCCACUCCCCGCU